rnacentral:lncRNA from 1 species
AUGAACUACACUCUCCAUACUUCCGUGCCAUCCAGCUUUCUCAGAUGUUCUACCAAGAAGGCUGGAAGGCAGGUGGAACAGGGAGGCCAUCACACUUCCUGUUUAGGCAAGUCCAGACUCAGAAGGAGGAGGACUGGGGUUUCAUUCUGCUGGGCAGAAGAAACAACAGCAACUCAGCUCUGGGCAACAUCCCUUUCCUCCUCCAUUCUUCCAAAGGAGAUGUUAAUACAGACCAAGUGUUGCAUUAGUGGAUUCAUUCUUCAGUGGAUAGUCAUCACUGUGGGAGAAGGUGUUUGCUGUCAUGUGAAAGACCCAGUCCUACGGAACCCUAGAGGAAGAGUCUCACACAGUACUACAAGACAGACCUGGACCUGACCUGACCAGACAGGAGGAGACAAAGGGGAAAAAAAACCACUCUGAAAUAAAGAAUUUUCUCUCCCUUUCAGGUCAGUGUUAUACUUCUCUUGGUAAAAUAUAAUGGAAAAAGAUACCACUAUUAAGGGAAUUUCACAGUCUGUGAGAUGUGCUCUUAUUCUUUAACUCAUUGUAAAGAAAUCACUUGCUAAAUGGAAAUGUCCCUAAAUCUUGGCUUUCAACAUAUACAAAUAUACACACACACACACACACACACACACACACACACACACACACACACAUAUAUGCUUGCAGUACAGUCCAGGGCACAGAGACACCCAGUUAAAAACAAUAAAAACAAAAUCAAUUAUCAGACAGUGACAUACUUUCCAAUCUUCUUGCAAUAAGAAGAAAUGGUACAGGAAAAUUAUAAGACAAUCACUUUGAGCAGCAUAGAAAAAGUUUCAGUGAGGACAUAGGACGUGUUUUCUAGUUAAGACGGCUGUGAGCUUGUCCAGUGAUAAGGGAAGUGUGAAGAACGGCACGGAGAUCCUCUCACUGGUACGUUACAGGCACAGUUUUCCCUAUCGCAGAAGGAUGGAACAGAACAACACCCACAAUCCUUCCAGAUUCCUACUCUGUCAUCCUUUAGGACAAAAAACAAAGAACCCCAGGGUGCAGUGAGGUGGCCAUAUGCCCUGGAGAUUUGUGAGAAGCAGCCCACCCCUGCUGCCUUAUUUUUCACGGAGGACAUUCUGUUCUGUGGGGCGAGCUGGGGUAUGUGUCAUGUUGUUGUUAGGCUGGCCUUUAAAAACCCUUGGCAACAUCCACUUGAUGCCACUAAUGUUUACUUUUCUGGGGGAAAGCGUGCUAAAUAGAAUCCUACCCAGACCUGAUAGGCUUCAAACUAUAGCCAGAAUGCCCAACUGCCAAAAAUCCAAAUAUUACUGAAUUUGGAAAUAAGCAAAAAGGCCAUUCCAUUAAUUCUAUUUUAGCAACAAUUAGCAGUAUUUAAAACUGAUUUAUAAGAAGCUUCUGGAGAAAUUAUACUUUCAUGGGCAAAGUCUGGAGUCAAAUACUCUUUAGUAUAAAAUUUAACUACACAGCGUUGUUUGGUUUUAUUGUCC